rnacentral:rRNA from 1 species
GGACCCGCACAAGUAGUGGAGCAUGUGGUUUAAUUCGAAGAUACGCGCAGAACCUUACCAACACUUGACAUGUUCGUCGCGACUUUAAGAGAUUAAAGUUUUCGGUUCGGCCGGACGAAACACAGGUGCUGCAUGGCUGUCGUCAGCUCGUGUCGUGAGAUGUUGGUUAAGUCCCGCAACGAGCGCAACCCUCACUUUUAGUUGCCAUCAUUUAGUUGGGCACUCUGAAAGAACUGCCAGUGAUAAGCUGGAGGAAGGUGGGGAUGACGUCAAGUCCUCAUGGCCCUUACGUGUUGGGCUACACACGUGCUACAAUGGCAAGUACAGACGGCCGCUAACCCCGCGAGGGGGAGCU